rnacentral:rRNA from 1 species
UGGGGAAUAUUGCACAAUGGGGGAAACCCUGAUGCAGCGAUGCCGCGUGAGCGAAGAAGGUCUUCGAAUCGUAAAGCCCUGUCCUAUGAGAAGAUAAUGACGGUAUCAUAGGAGGAAGCCCCGGCUAAAUACGUGCCAGCAGCCGCGGUAAUACGUAUGGGGCGAGCGUUGUCCGGAAUUAUUGGGCGUAAAGGGUACGUAGGCGGUCUAUUAAGUCAGGUGUGAAAGCGUGAGGCUUAACCUCAUUAAGCACUUGAAACUGAUAGACUUGAGUUAAGGAGAGGAAAGUGGAAUUCCUAGUGUAGCGGUGAAAUGCGUAGAUAUUAGGAGGAAUACCGGUGGCGAAGGCGACUUUCUGGACUUUUACUGACGCUCAGGUACGAAAGCGUGGGGAGCAAACAGG